GCUCUUCCGACCUGCUACACAUUGACACCGAUGACUCUGAGGAACAUGUUGCAGGAGAAAAGCAGGUCACAGAAGAGAAUACAGUGGGGCCUUGACUUACGAGUUUAAUUCGUUCCGAGACCAAGCUCGUUAAGG